GACGAACGCUGGCGGCGUGCUUAACACAUGCAAGUCGAACGCUGAAGCCCUUCGGGGUGGAUGAGUGGCGAACGGGUGAGUAACACGUGGGUAAUCUGCCCUGCACUCUGGGAUAAGCCUUGGAAACGGGGUCUAAUACCGGAUAGGACACAUCGCCGCAUGGUGUGUGUGGAAAGUUCCGGCGGUGCAGGUUGAGCCCGCGGCCUAUCAGCUUGUUGGUGGGGUGAUGGCCUACCAAGGCGACGACGGGUAGCCGGCCUGAGAGGGUGACCGGCCACACUGGGACUGAGACACGGCCCAGACUCCUACGGGAGGCAGCAGUGGGGAAUCUUGCGCAAUGGGCGAAAGCCUGACGCAGCAACGCCGCGUGGGGGAUGACGGCCUUCGGGUUGUAAACCUCUUUCGACCGGGACGAAGGAUUCGUUUGACGGUACCGGUAGAAGAAGCACCGGCUAACUACGUGCCAGCAGCCGCCGUAA
rnacentral:rRNA from 1 species